rnacentral:rRNA from 1 species
CUACGGGGGGCUGCAGUGAGGAAUAUUGGUCAAUGGAGGCAACUCUGAACCAGCCAUGCCGCGUGAAGGAUGACGGCCCUAUGGGUUGUAAACUUCUUUUGAAUAGGAAGAAACUUAUCUACGUGUAGAUAACUGACGGUACUAUUAGAAUAAGGAUCGGCUAACUCCGUGCCAGGAGCCGCGGUAAUACGGAGGAUCCAAGCGUUAUCCGGAUUCAUUGGGUUUAAAGGGUCCGUAGGCGGGUCUUUAAGUCAGUGGUGAAAGCCGACAGCUCAACUGUCGAACUGCCAUUGAUACUGGAGACCUUGAGUACAAAUGAAGUAGGCGGAAUGAGUCAUGUAGCGGUGAAAUGCAUAGAUAUGACUCAGAACACCGAUUGCGAAGGCAGCUUACUGACAUGUAACUGACGCUGAGGGACGAAAGCGUGGGGAGCGAACAGGAUUAGAUACCCUUGUAGUC